rnacentral:lncRNA from 1 species
CGGCAGAUUGCUUUGUGGACGGAUUUUUGGGUAGUUUUAUGAUGUAGAAUGGAUGGGGAAUGGUAUGGAAAGGUUUAGGGUAAGUGUGGAGGAGUGUUUGAGGGUUGGAGGGUGGUGGAGAACUAGGCAAAGAGGGUGGAAGAAUGUGGAGUGGCUGUUAUGUUUUCUAGGCACUAGAAUGGUGUUUUUGGGGUGUUUUGCUACCUAGGGUGAGUAUGGACGAAUUUCUGUGAUGAAUGGUGAAU